rnacentral:lncRNA from 1 species
AGGUCAUUUGUUCUUAUUGUCAUACACUUUUGUGCUAAUGGCCCAAAAAAAAGUUGUGCUUCUUAUCUACAUUGGGAUGAUCAUCAUGUUUGCUUCGGUUGCGGAUGGACAAGCCACUCAACUCUCUGUUACAUGUCCUAACACUGGUUUUGAUUGCUACAAACACUGUAUUAUAAGUUGUUACUAUCAAAACUUACCUGUUCACCGCCC